CUGCUCAGAUGAACGCUGGCGGCAGGCCUAACACAUGCAAGUCGAGCGGUAGAGAGAAGCUUGCUUCUCUUGAGAGCGGCGGACGGGUGAGUAAUGCCUAGGAAUCUGCCUGGUAGUGGGGGAUAACGUUCGGAAACGGACGCUAAUACCGCAUACGUCCUACGGGAGAAAGCAGGGGACCUUCGGGCCUUGCGCUAUCAGAUGAGCCUAGGUCGGAUUAGCUAGUUGGUGAGGUAAUGGCUCACCAAGGCGACGAUCCGUAACUGGUCUGAGAGGAUGAUCAGUCACACUGGAACUGAGACACGGUCCAGACUCCUACGGGAGGCAGCAGUGGGGAAUAUUGGACAAUGGGCGAAAGCCUGAUCCAGCCAUGCCGCGUGUGUGAAGAAGGUCUUCGGAUUGUAAAGCACUUUAAGUUGGGAGGAAGGGUUGUAGAUUAAUACUCUGCAAUUUUGACGUUACCGACAGAAUAAGCACCGGCUAACUCUGUGCCAGCAGCCGCGGUAAUACAGAGGGUGCAAGCGUUAAUCGGAAUUACUGGGCGUAAAGCGCGCGUAGGUGGUUUGUUAAGUUGGAUGUGAAAUCCCCGGGCUCAACCUGGGAACUGCAUUCAAAACUGACUGACUAGAGUAUGGUAGAGGGUGGUGGAAUUUCCUGUGUAGCGGUGAAAUGCGUAGAUAUAGGAAGGAACACCAGUGGCGAAGGCGACCACCUGGACUAAUACUGACACUGAGGUGCGAAAGCGUGGGGAGCAAACAGGAUUAGAUACCCUGGUAGUCCACGCCGUAAACGGAUGUCAAACUAGCCGUUGGAAGCCUUGAGCUUUUAGUGGCGCAAGCGAAACGCAUUGAAGUUGACCGUC
rnacentral:rRNA from 1 species